ACCGGUGGAACCGGUGUGAGGAGAGAGUGGGGCAGGGCCAGGAAGCACCUCUUCCUCUGCUAAUGCACGCAAAGGAAGUCUGGUGCUGCCUUUAAUUUUUCCACUAAGGAACUUGGAGGAGGCAUUGUGUGGUGGCUGGGUCUCUGGCUGCUUUCACCAAGCUUAUUAUCUGUUUUCCUCACCAGCCUUAUCUCCUGCAGGACGCUGUUUUGUUCUUUUUCCAGGGACAUUAAGCGUAAGUGUAAAAGCUGUGGUUCUCUGUGGAAAUGACCACAGAUUAUUUUCCUUGCAAUUUGUAUAGGCCUCCUUUUCCUGACCAGCUAGGGAGGACACUGCACAUUUGAUGGUGACAUUUGACCUUUUUGUUUUAUGUGCCAUGGUGCAUUCUCUCUGGUAGCCUCAGAAGUUACAAGACCUUACCUCACUCUUCAGGAACAAACUACAGCAAUGAUUCAUCUCUCUAUAUUUCCCAGCCUCCUGAUAAACUGCUAAGUGAAGAUGGGGAGGAGCCAUCACGUCGCGUUGAUAGAAUAGACACAGAGGGGACUUGGUGAUGUGUUAGGAGGAGCACUGACCAGAAGUCAGGGUAUCUGGGUUUGAGUUUAACCUCCUUGGUUCUCAGUCCUCUCAUGGAUGAAGUGAGAGUUGGAAUAGAAAGAGGUCACAGCAGGUCCUUCCAGAUUUCAUUCCAUAGUUUCUCUACAUUAGUAAGGGUCUUUCUCUGUCACCCAGGCUGAACUGCAGUGGCAUGAUCACAGCUCACAGCCUCCCAGGCCCGAGCAAUCCUCCUGCCUCAUCCUCCAGAGUAGCUGGGACAACAGGUAUGUGCCACCAUGCCUGGCUAAUUUUUUAUUUCUUUAAAUUUUUGAUAGAGAUCUUGUUAUGUUGCCCAGCCUAGAACUAACAUUUCUGAUGUCCUACUAGAUGUCAAUUCUCAAAAUACUUUGAAGGUAGAUAACAAUAUUAUUCUUUUACCAACAAGGAAAUGAUUCCCCUUCCCUGCUUCUGAAUGAACAUUAUGUUCUCCCUCAAGUGAUUUUGGUGCAGUUGGGCAGGUUUUAAGAUAAGCUGGGCUAAGUGAUUUGCUCCAAGUAUUAACAUUAGUUAAUCAUGAUGCUGAAAUUCAGCCUCAGGCCUGUCUAGCCCGGAGACCUGUGUUCUUUUCACUCUACUAAGCUGAGAAAAGAAAACACAAAGAAAAGCGAGGAAGGGUUUCAUAGUGGAUACCUCUCCAUGCAUUUAAUCAAAAAUAGGCCAAGAAACUCUCUUAAUGAAAUCCACCCUCCAAAAAAAAAAAAGAGAGAAAAGUAGUCUGAGUUAAGUAAAACCAAUUCAGCUCAAGGGAACAGAGUCGAGAUAGUCUCAUAGGCAUUUCCAGGACAGCUGACCUUUUCCAUAAUGAACACUGCUCCCUCCACAAUGAUGCAGCAGUAACUCUCACUGCCUUACUCUUUAGUAGUGAUCUAGAUUUAACAAGAGCGCCUUGCAACUUAUAGUAUAUUCGCAGUCUUUAAAGUACUUUCACAUUCUUGAUUCCUUUUCACCUCUAAUAAUAAUAAUAAUAAUAGUAUUAAUAAUUUAGGAACUGAAACAAAGAUUUUAGAGUCAGACCUCAGUUUAAUCACCACUCUUGCCACUUAGCUCUGCGACCUUAGGCUGGUUAAGAAGAGCCUCAGUCUUCUCUCCUGUAAGAUGGGGAUAAUAAAAAUGCCUACCCCAUAGGGUUGUAAUGAGUAUCCAAAGAGAUAGAACAUGUUAAGUGUUGCCCAGCACAUAGUCGUGUUCAAGAAAUGUUAACCACUAUUAUUUAUAUAUAUAUAAAAAACACAUAUAUGUCAGAAAAAUUAUCUGACAUUUGAAAAUAGGCAGAAAAUAUUACUGAUUAUUGGGUCUUCUUUCAGUGCAGUAUUGAGCUUAAUUUUCUACUGACUUUACACUCCAUAGGUGCAGAGGUUAACUUAAAAAUUUUUGUCUGGUAAAGAUGCAAAUAGUUUCUGUGCAAUACAGCCAAUAAGCACAAAGAUUAGUCUACUGUCCUGUUGGACACCAACCAGUUUUAACUCAUCAAUCUUAUAAUAUUUUUAAAUUAAAUUUUACACACACAUAAUCUCAAAUGCUUUUUGAAUCAGUUUUAACAUCUUAACGUUCACCUCAAUAAAUACAAUCUGUGACAGGUAUUCAUAUUCUAUUUUCCUGAGAGAUAUGAUUUUACCCUUUUGAAAAUUACACUUGAUAACAUGGAACCAACCUAAAUGCCCAUCAGUGAUAGACUGGAUAAAGAAAAUGUGGUACAUAUACACCAUGGAAUACUAUGCAGGCAUAAGAAGGAAUGAGAUCAUGUCCUUUGCAGGGACAUGGAUGAAGCUGGAAGCCAUCAUCCUCAGCAAACUAACACAGGAACAGGAAACGAAACACUAUAUGUUCUCACUCAUAAGUGGGAGUUGAACAUUGAGAACAUAUGGACACAGGGAGGGGAAUAACACACACCAGGGCCUGUUGGGUGGGGGGUGAGGGGAGGGAACUUAGAGGUCCAUAGGUGCAGCAAACCACCAUGGCACACGUAUGCCUACGUAACAAACCUGCAUGUUCUGCACAUGUAUCCCUUUUUUUUUUUUAAAGAAAUAAAGAAAAAAAAUAAAGAAAAGAAAAUUACACUUAACAUUAGACAGCUAAUAUGGGUAGGCCUGCCCCAUUUAGUAGAGGGACUGAAACACAAAGAGAUUUUUGACUUGUCGACAGCUAGAAGCAGAAUUCAGUAAUUUCAAAUUCUACCCCGAUAUCUUUGUUCUAUCUUAUGCCUCUGACCAAACAAUAUCCAAAAAUACAAUAACAACAAUAAAGAAUAUAAUCCUGAAGGAUAUAAGGCAGUACUCUUCUGGCAGGCUUGAACAGUUUCCAGGCUGUCUUCACAGCCAUCAUUCAAAGAGGAAUGUGAGAAACAUCAUUUGAAGCUGAUUUCCAAAUGUUCUGCUUCUCUAAAUGCAUUUUUCAAACCCUUAGAGGAAAAGGGGGCCCUCUUUAAAAACAGCAAUGAUCUAAAAAACGGGUGAGGUAGGGAAUCUGGUAGUUCACUAACCUGGUUAAUAGGAAAUCAAAACUAUUCUAUGUAAAAUCAAUUAAAUCCAUUAAUACAUUGAUUAGGUAGAUGGAAACUGAGUUACAUCUACCUUAGAAUUUAAGCAGACCAGGGUCUCUAAAAACUUGAUAUUCUCUUUUCUUGGCAUGAGAGGAAAGUAAGGUUUCAGAAUUGAAAGAGUAAUUAAGAGGGAGCCCUGUGUCCAGGGACUGAACUCACUGUUAUGCUCUGGAUGGGACAUAUGCUCAGAGCCCAGUGGCCCAAGCUGUUGUAGAAGACGGCAGAAGCAGCCAGGAGAGCUCUGAGCCCACCACGCGCAUGGAGGAUGGAACCGGGGUUAGUUUAAAGUAAGCAGUGCCCGAAUCAUGUGACAGGAGCCACCUUUACACUUAUAAUCACUGCAGGCUUAGGAAAAUCAUAACAUAAAUGAAAGGUUUUUUGUAUUGAAAAAGUUCCACCCACAUUGUGCCUUGGCCCCUCAUUUUAAAAAUACUUUCAUCUCUAAAUUCCCCGGGUUUCCUCUGGCGUCUCCAGCUGCUCCUCUGCUGAUUGCUCGUCCACGAUUCCUCAAUGUCUGAGUGUCUGAUUCAGACAUUUCUUGGCCCUGUCUUUUUCCCUACUAUCUGGUUUAAAUGUCAUCCAUAUGCUGAUGUUUCCUAAAUUUUAUCUGCAGCCUCAACCUCUUGCCUGAACUCAGAACUAAUAUAUCCAGUUGCAUAUGUAAAAUCUUCUCUUGAAUGUCAAAGAUCAACUUAAACUUAAUAUGUUCAAAACAGAAUUUGUGAUUUUGUUCCCUCCCUCCACACUCUUAUCCCUGCAAAGGCCAAGUUCUACCUUAGGGCCUUUGCACAGUCUCUGGGCCUGGAACACUCUUCCACCAGUCAUUUCAUGGACAGCUCCCCUUGGUCAUUCAGAUCUCAGUUCAAACAUCACUUCCUCCUUAGCUGUCCCUGGCCCCCAUCGGAAGUGGCCCAUUCCUUUCCCACGGCCACCACCAGUUAUUCUGGUAAUUAUGCACAUAAACUGGAAAUUUCUCCAUAACCUCAUAUUUAUCACAAUAUGGAAUUCUGUGGAUUAGGUGUUUACUUAUUUAUUGUUAAUCUCCCUGCCCUUCCCCCACAGCUCUACCCCCCAAUGCAUAGAAAAUGAGCCUCGAGGGAACUGGGACUCAUCUGUCUUAGUCAUUGCUGUUUCUCCAACACACAGGCACUCAGCAGAUUUUUACUGAGUGCAUAUUUGCAUAUGUGAAUGCAUCUCUGGGGGUCUGUUUUCCUACAAAACCUGAGGGUAAUUAUCACAGAAAGCAUGCAUGGUAACUGGGAAGGAUGAACAUACUAAUUCCAGCAUGACCUUGAAUUUUUAAAUUGAUUUGGAGAAUAGUAAAUGCCAUUGGGAUGCCAAAGAGAGCAAGAGAUGUUGGUGCAGGGGAAGGGUGUUGUAAACAAAGAGAGGAAUGCAAACAAUAAUCCCUAAAUGUCCAGAAAAAUUUUGGGAGACUGAUGAGGAAGAAUCAUUUUAUGUUUAUUUUGCCAAGGAAGGAUAUUAUGGAGAAAUUUUAUCAUCUACUGUCACAUCACCAUCAUGUCAUAAAAUAAAGGACAUUUAACUUCCAAAAAGUAGAAAAGAUAUGAACUUCGUUUUUCAAAAAAAUUGAAUAAACUGUGCUUUAGGAAAACUCCCUAUAUUGACUUAUUUCUCUCAUUGCAGCACAGUCCUUUGGAAACAUUGUCCUAACACUGUCAGGAACCACUGACUUAAGUGACUGACUCUAGUCGAGGAGCAAUCACUGGCAACUUUCCUAAGUCUUUGCUUCUCAAUAUGUCUAUGGACAAUUAAAGCUCUCUGAUAAAUAUUCACUACUAGGGUAUUGUAACGUUUAGACGACCUCAGAAACCUGGCAUUGAGAUGUUACUUAGAAUUUUCUCCCUAUCUCAACCAAGUAUAAGGCCAGGCCUACAAAUAAAAAGGUGUUUUAAGUGAAUAAAUGUGUUUGUGUGUGUGUGUGUGUGUGUGUGUGUGUGUGAAGUGUAUGUGUAUGAUGCCUUAAGGAAGAAACUGACACAUCAACAGAGUUUUAAAAUGUUUAAAAGACCAGUAGUACCAACUGAAACUAAUGGCCAAGACAUCUAGUAUCAUGGUUACGUUACAUAGAACACAAUGUAGAAUUUCCUUUCAUUUUACUGUAAAUUGCUUUAAAAAUACGUAUUUUUUAAAGUGUAAGAUAAAAAUGUAUCCGGAACUUAUUCCUUCUGGUGGGUUCUUGGUCUCGCUGACUUCAAGAAUGAAGCCGCAGAGUCUUGCGGUGAGUGUUACAGCUGUUAAAGAUGGUGCGUCCGGAGUUUGUUGCUUCAGAUCUGUCCAGAGAUUCUUCCUUCCUGUGGGUUCGCUGUGUGGGUGACUUCAGGAGUGAAGCCUCAGACCUUACCAGUGAGUGUUACAGUUCUUAAAGGUGGCGAGUCUGGAGUUGCUUAUUCCUUCCAGUGGGUUCGUGGUCUCACUGACUUCAGUAAAGAAGCCACAGACCCUCGCGGUGAGUGUUACAGCUCAUAAAAGUAGCGUAGACCCAAAGAGUGAGCAGCAGCAAGAUUUACUGUGAAGAAGGAAAGAACAGGAGGUUGCUGCUGCUGGCUAGGGUGGCCAGCUUUUAUUGCCUUAUUUGGCCCCGCCCACAUCCUGCUGAUUGCUGCAUUUUACAGAGGGCUGAUUGGUCCAUUUUACAGAGCACUGAUUGGUGCAUUUUUACAGAGUGCUGAUUGGUGCAUUUACAAUCCUCUAGCUAGACUCAGAGUGCUGAUUGGUGCGAUUUUAUAGAGUGCUGAUUGGUGCAUUUACAAUCCUUUAGCUCGACACAGAAGUUGUUCAAGUCCCCAACAGACCCAGAAGCCCAGCUGGCUUCACCUCUCAAAAAGAUACAAAUGACAGAGACAAUUGAAAAAAAAUGUUUAAUCUACUGGGGAAACUAAGAAACAAAACCAAAGGAGGCAGAUGAUAUCAAGCAUUAUUCAAAUUUACUGCUGAACCAAUGUAUUCAGGAAUAACACCCACAUGAAAGGAGAAUAUAUAUUGAAAAUGGAAAUGUGAAUAAUUUCCUUAGAUGACUGACUUCAUUUGCAAAGAGGAAAAUCUGCUCCCAGAGAAUAUGCAAAAUGCAAGCAACAGUGAUGGUAAACAAAGUUUUAAAGGGAGAAGUUGAUGAAGAUUCUGGGCCAUAGGGGCAUUCACCAGACAGCAUCUAAAAGAAGUAGAGGUGGCUGGGACCUGUGUCACAGCCCAUUAGAUGCCAUUUUAAGAGAUUAAUAAUUCAGGGCCUGGGUAGCACGGGGUGACUGCAGUCAUACAUAUAAGCAAAUAACAAUGAGGACUAAGUGUUUGGUCUUUCCAUUGACUUAUUGGUUCCUGGAUGGCAGUAAACAGGGUCUUCAGUGUCUGGCUCACUAGAUAAACAAGAGUAAUAAGAGGAAUCAUACUGGUCCCAAUUUGGAACUCCAGCUCUGCAGAGGGCAUCCACACCCACCUCAAGUCAAAAAGUAAGAAAACUCAAUUAGCAGCUGUUCUCCCUCCGCCCCCUUCUGAGGAGGGAAGGGAGUGGAGUUUUCUCCCACACACUUUCUAAGCCAUGGGGGAGUCUCCCGAGCUUCUGAACAGCAGUCAGGAAACAAGGCUGUUCAGGAAGCUGGUACUGUGAACCACAAGUCCUCUGAAGAGCUUCAGUGGAAAAUAAUACUAGUGGAUAGAUUUAAAUUCCUCAUACAACCAAAGUUGUUCUUUGUACUUCUAAUAGAUGUUAUAAUUUUUUACAUAAAUACUGUACAAUGUCUGUGAGUUAAAAUCAGAUUCAAAACCUAAUCUUCUGAUGCAAUAAGCAGUCAAAUCUUUUCCUGGUUCUCAGGACAAGCGAAGGAAGUCAGUAUGAAACUUCCCUUACCAGAGAAUGUCUGCUCAACAUGUUCUUCCUGGAAACACCUUGAAAAUAAAAUGGCUCCCAGACCCUCCAGUUUCCCUUGGUCGGGGAAGUCAGAGCCGAUCAUGGGCUUAAAUCUUGUGUGUUAUUGGGGAUAUAUCACCUAGCUGAAGAAAAUAGACCUAAUGACCCUGAUUUGUCUGAAUUUUCAUAAAGAGAUUGCAAAGACUCCAGACAUUUUUGCCUCAAGACUCAGCUGAACUCAUAUUAGUCUUGCAUUUAUAAGGAGAGCCUCUGCCAAGAGGUAAGGAUAGCAGGAGAGAGGAGUUGGGAGACCUGGAUUCAGUCAUGCCUAUACCAGGAGGCAGCCGCGUGUUGACUGUGAUCAUGCCAUGUCACUUAACUUCUCUGAACUUUAAUUUUCUUAGCUGGAUAAUUAGAAUAUAUAUGAUCUUUAUAGUCUUCUAUAGAUCCAAAAAAGUAUGAUUUGAUGUGUAUAACUAAGUCUGGGUGGCUGGACAGAAAGUUUGAAUAGGUCAAUUGCCCAACAAGACUGGUUAUAUCAUUCAGUUGUUGAAAUGACCAAUAUAACCAGGUUUUUUUUAAAAAAAAAAAACAAAAAACAAACCCUGGCUAGCUAUUUUCAGCAACCUUAACUACUUACUGGCUUGACUAUGAAGCAGUCCUUUUGAUUGCUUAAAAUUAAAAAUAGUUAAAAUAGCUUUUAAAAAUAAGAAUAACCACCCUUUGAUCAAUUGAACAUUUCAACAACUGAUCAAUUGAUCUCUGUCACCUAAUCUGGUCUUAUUUAUGAGUGUCUUGAGACACGUAUCCCACAGGGUUACUCUACAAACUCUCCUCCCUUAGUGUCUACAGCACAACUUUUUGCUGCCUCCUGGAUAGUUUUUGUUGUUCUAUUUACAACUCCUCUUUCUCUGUCCAUUCCCUAAAUAUUUGUUCCUUGGCGUUCCCUCUAAGAUGUUUUCCUCUCUUGCUGUAUCUGCCCUCCUCGGAUGAUUUCACCCUCACCUACAAUGGUGUGCUGGCAAAUGUUUAACAAGCAGCGCUUCCAGGGUGAAGAAAAGCCCUGACUCGUAGUGUUUGCUGAUUUCUGUGGUGUAAAUACUCUCACUAUGGCCAAUAUCAGGCUCCCAGACAUUAUGGAUUUGGGAAGAGAGGCAUAUAACUGACGCUUAACAGCUGAAUGAACUAGCUCUAGCACACCACUGCAUCCCUGACUUCCAAGACCACCCACAUGCUGAUCCACCGACCUUUCUCUCUCUCUCUCCCUCACUGCAGACUCAUAUCCACUUGAAUGUCACACUUCCACAACAUCAUCAAGGGUAAAAUGGACACACGAUCUUCCUGUAAACUUUUCCCUGCAUUCCCUGUUUACCAAGGUAACUGUGGACAAGAGUGAGUGACCCAGCUUUUGGAAAAUUUUGACUUCGUUUGAGCUAUCUUAGACUAUUUUGUGAUUGCAUCUUUUGAGCGAUGGAACAAGACUACCUGCUGGUAAAUAGGAAUGGAGUUUUUUUCUGCAGAGAAAUAGAUGUUUCUGCUGUCAAUCAUCCUGUGAAGUGGUUUCUCUGGGACAAGGAAUGGGAGGUGAGAAGCGAUUUGAACUGGAGGAGAGAAAGAUCUAGGGCCUAAGACCAGCUGAGUCUGAGUGACAUGGAGAAGGCUAGAGUCAUUCUACUGGCAGAGUAGCUACUGCUGUCCCAUGAACGCAGUGAACAGUAAUAGCAGGUAUCUAAUCGAGCAGCAACAUGGAGGCUAAAAAGUCAAGGCAAAAAAAGGGGCCAAUUUCUAGAGAUGCCAAACUGAGACAGCACUUGUGGACCUGGUCAGUUUUUAGAGGGCACAUCCUAUUUCCAAGACUGGAGUGGUGAUCCACAGGUGGUGGUUACCCUCAACCAGCUGAUCCUGCAGGGUAAGAAUCUCAGAAGUGUUUCAAUAUCAGCAGCAGCAACAGCAGCACCAGCAGCAGCAAGAUGAGAAGGCUAGAGAAGAAUAACCCAGUGGAACUUGUCUGCAGCUCAAAUGAGAGGCAUUCUAAGACACUCUCAGAAAUAACUGAUGGGACAGUGACAGUAGCUGAUUUCUAGUAGUGCAGGCUCUACAGUAUAAUAAUUUAGGUGUACCAAGGAAGAAUAUGUUAUAGUCACAGGCUAGAGGGCCAGAGUAUUCCCUUGCAUUACAUUUAUUUCCAUCUAUAUUAGGUCAUCUACCCAGAUGCCUAAACCCCAAAACUAAGAGUCAUUUUGUCUUCUCUGAUGUACCACAUACAAUCAGUCACAAAGGCCUGCCAGUUCUAUCUCCUAACUUUUUCUUGAAUCCAUCAGAAUGUAGGCAUGAAGAGAAAAGAUGCUCUCAUACUUACAGUCAUCCUCUCAGUUCAAGCCCUUGUCUUUUCUCACUUGGAUUUCUCUGAGAGCUUCCCAACUAGUCUCCCUGACUUCCAUCUUGCUCCCUCCAAUCAGUCCAUCAACUGCAUUGCUGCAGAGGAAUCUUCCAACAAAAACCUGUUCAAGUUACUCCUUUGUUAAAGUCCUUCAGGAUAAAACCCAGACUCUUGGGGUGGCCUAUUAGGUCCUUCAUGGUCUGCCUAUCACCUUCCUUUCUAGGCUUAUCCCACACUCCCCUCCUGUGUCCAGUGCAUAGAGUCCUCUAGAUAGGGGAGGAUGCAUUGACCAUUUUUCCUACCUUCUUUCCCAUCCUCAUGACGUGGUUUUAAAUGCUCAUGUCUUUCUCCCAUUAUACACUGUCUUCUGGUUUUCCUCUGACAUCUCUGGUUGUUCCUUCUCAUCAUCUUCUUCCUCUGCUCAUACUUUAAGUGUUGAUUUUCCCCAGAGUUCUCUUCUCAGCCCUCUCUUCUGUCUUCCUGGAAAAGGUCAGUCGUUCCUGGGGCUUCUGUUUCUAACUCAUGCUGAGUUUUCUUAAAUCUUUGCCUCUAGAUCAGACUGCUCUUCUCAACACCUCCACAGAAUGCUCUUAGCUAUCUUAAACUCCAUAUGUCUGAAGUUUAUUAAACUCCUACCUCCAGAUGCAUUCUCCCUCCUAUAUCCUCUAUCUCAGUUUAUGUCUCUGUUUGAAAGUUGAAGCAAGUACCUAUUGCUGCCUGACAAACCUCCCCUAAUCAGUAGCUUAAUACAACAGACAUUUAUUAUUGCUCACAAGCCUAUGCGUCAAUGGGGCAUUCCUGCUGACCGGAGCCAGAUUCAGCUGAUCUUGACUGGGCUUUCUCACAUAUCUGGAACCUCUGCUGGGACAACUGGGAUGACUUGGUCCAUAUGGUCUCUUAUCCUCCAACAGGCUAGCCUAGGUUUAUUCACAUGGCAGAUGGACAGAGUUCCAAGAGAGAAAGUGGAACCCAUUCAAGGCCUCUUGGGGCAGAGGAUCCUAAUUAAAAUACCAUAUCAUUUCCACUGCAUCCUCUUGGCCAGAAGUCACAAAGCCAGCCCAGGUUCAAGGGAUGGAGAAAUAUACACCACCUCUUAAUGGAAGUAGAUGCAAAGUCACAUUUUAAGGAGUGUGGACAGAGAGAGGGGCGGAGAAAUGUGAUCCUUUUUGCAAUCUGCCAGAGAAGUAAUCCUAGAUAUCUCCACAAUGAUAAUGUGGUGGUGAUGGUGGUGAUGGUGAUGGUGGCAGCUAAUGUUUACCAAGUACCUAGCACAUAUCCUGCACUGAAUAAUGUCAAGGGAAAGGUAGAUUCUGCAUUGUGUUUACAGUUAUGUAUGAAAAUCACUUUUUAUUUUCUUUAUAUUGGUUUCUGUUGAGGCCUCUCUUUUGGCUUACAGACAGCUAUCUUAUUACUCUGUCCUCAUGUGGCCCUUCCUCUGUAUGUGUGCAAAAAAAGAGUGAUCUCUGGUGUCUCUUCCUCUUCUUACAAGAACACCAGUCCUAAUGGAUAAGAGCUCCACCCUUAUGACCUCAUUAACCUUAAUUGCCUCUUUAAAGGCCCUCUCUCCAAAUACAGUCACUUUUGGGAUUAGGUCUUCAUGACUGGGGCAUGGGGUGGGGAUACACACAAUUCAGUCCGUAACAACUACACAAACACUAGAAUGGCUAAAAUGAAUUUAAAAACAAACAUCAUAUGUUGGAAACUGGAACAACUGGAAUUCUCAUACACUGAUGUUGGGACUUUAGUCCAAUCACUUUGUAAAAACUGUUGAGCUGAAUCCAAUAAGGCUGAAUAUAUGCCUAGCCUUUGAGAUUCUACUCGUAGAUAUUUUAUCCAAAGGAAAUGCAAACGUAUACACACCAAAAGACAUACACAAGAAUAUUCACCACAGCACGAUUCAUAAUAGCCUUAAAUAGGAGAGAAUUCAAAUGUUGAUACAUAAUGGGAGGAAUAAAUAACUUACAGAUAUCCAUACAACAGGAUAUCAUACAACCAUGAGACUGAACACACUAUGGUUAAAGCUCACAAACAUCAUGCUGACUGACAGAAGCCAGACACAAAAGAGUACACACUUUAAACUUUCACUUAAAUAAUAUUCAAUAACAGGCAAAACAAAUCCAUGGUGUUAGAAAUCAGGCCAGUGGUCAGCCUUGGAGAGGGAAGUGGUGGCUGGAAGGAAACAACAGGGGGCUUCCAGGAUGCUGGGUGUGUUAUGAUCUGGCUUCUGGCUACACAGCUAUGUUCAGCUCAUGAAAAUUUAUCAAGCUGAAUACUUAUAUGUGCAUGUUUCUGCAUAUAUUUUACACUUCAAUAAAAAGUUUCCUUUAAAAAUUUUUCUGAAAACUCCAUAUCAUCCUAGAAUAAAGUCCCAAAACUUCAGCAAGGCCUGAGGCUUUAUGACCUGGCCCCAGGCCGACAUUUCCAGUCCCAUCCCUACUACUCCUGGCCUAACCUACAGCCAAAACAAGUCAUCACCCAUAUCCACAGUCCAUCGUGCUCUUUCAUGCUUUCCACUUCAUUUGCUUGGUUAACUCUGUUUUCAGCUUUAAAAGUCAACUCAGGCUUUAUUCUCCAUCAGGAAGUUUUCCCUCACCCCACCCAACCCGGGCUGAGUUACAAGUCCCUCCUAUGUCCUCCCUUAACAUUUUAUGUGUACUUAUUACCCUUAGUACAUUGCACUAUCAUUUUUGGUUUAUGAAUCCAUCUUUGCUGCUGGACUGUGAGUGUGAUGAGGGCAAGAACUGUGUCCUUUGUCUCUGUAUAUGCAGCAUCUAGUGCAGUGCCUAGGACACAGCAAAUGCACAAUGAACAACAGAUGAAUGAAUAAGCGGAUUAAUGGACUUUAGUUUACAGUCUUGAUUUUGGUACACAAAAUUCUUCUUUAGUCAUUCUAGCAAGAAAAAGUGGUUUUUUUUACAUUGAAACUUCAUCUGGCAGCACAGACUACACCAUGCCCAAAAUUUAGUUUGCAAUGAGUGCUUUGUUCUUCAUGAACAUUAAUAUCAGAGAAACCAAAUGCACAUUUCUUAAAAUAAGUAAUAGCAAUAUUGCCCAUUCCCUAAAGACUGUCCGACUGUACAAAAUAAUUGCAUUCCUCUGGAACACGGGUGAAGCGUUAAUGUUCUUGGUUGGCUGGAGAAUCAACAAAUUCCUCUAACAUCUAGAUUGGCGAUGUUUCUUGGUGUAUCUGCCAGAAAUUCCUCAGAUAUCCUCGUCUGAGAUUUAUGGACUGAGAGGUUUAUGAUAUUUCAGAGGGUAGAAUCGGCUAUUGUUUUACAUAUUAGCCAAGUCAAGUAAAUGCAGUGAAAGCUGUGAUUGGUCUCUGGGCCUAAAAAGUGAAAUAGGCUGACAACAGCCAUAUUCCAUGCAAGAUCCAAACAGGCUUCAGCCAGGCAAAAUGCAAAGUGGUGAUCACAACUACUUCUCAGCAAUGUUUAUUCUUACUUCUGAUUUUGGGCUUUCAGUACGGCUCCAUAACAGAAAGCCAAAAAGGUUUUAAUGGUAGGAGGUAGGAUGAUAAAGCUAUUGCCACGAUGAUGAUUCUUGGUAAAUAAGGGUGCACUAUGUGCCACAGAACAAGCACAGAUAUGAAACUUGACCUCAGAGUGCUUAUCAACCAAAAAGUUAGGGCAAAGGUAAAACAGUAGCGCUAUAACUUUUAAACAUAUGUAUAAUCUGAGUAUUGAACUGGGUAUACUAGGCCCACCUUCAGAGCCUUUGCUCACUCCCACCUCGCUGAGGACACUUCUCACUCACUCUACCCCAAGAACAGGCCGUGCAGGCUUAUUUGUAAGGGCCCUGACUCCACCCAGCCUCUUGAUCCACAGCUGAUUGGACCAGACAGGGCACAUGACUCAAGCUAAGCCAAUCAGAUUCUCUCCGUUUGGAAUUGAGCCGCACAUGGUCCUAAGAAGAGAACCUGCGGGGCUAUCUGGGCAGCCAUUUGGGGUGAAAGAGUGAAGCAGAGUAAAGUGGUCAGCAGGGAGAAAGUAGAGGCACAGGAAACCACCGUGGUGUAAUAGCAGGGUGGCAGGAAGAGAGAUCAGUUCCUGACAGCUUUCCUGUUUCUGAUUCCAGUCCCUUUGGGGACAUCUGAUACGUUCUCUGGCCAACUCUGGCCUCCUUUUUAUGUUUAUGCUGGUGUGGGUGGUUUUCCGAGGUCCCAGGCCUAAGACACACAUGUUCUGGUGUUCAGGCAGGAGGACUGUCUUCAAUUCUUGGUGUCAUGUUGGCGGAGGGGAGGGCUAGACUACGGGAGGCCUUGCACUGCAGCAACUGGCAUCCACGGCCAGGGGCUGGCUGGAGUUUUAGCUCUAACGCUGGGGGUUUGGGAGCUGUUGGUUAGUGGGGGUGUUAAUUUGGUUCUUUAAAAAAGGAAGCAUGACACUGUGAGUGAUGACAUUUGAACGUCAACAAUACAACAUUAAGCCUGUGGAAAGUUUUAAUUAUGAUAGCUUACACAGGAAAUUGCAUUUAUCUAUGGAAACUAAAUUUAGAAGCCUGGACAGAUUGACAGGAUCCCCCUUAAGUCCAUGUAAAUAGCCCUUGCCGGGUGCUAGGAAGUAACAGCAGUAGCAGGGGCUGGCUAGUCAGGGCGCUCUUCAAAAGUCCUAUCUUCCAGGUUAGGGGAGAAUGAACAAUUUCUGAAAGAACCCCAUUUUCAAGGCUGUUCCUAUUAUCUCCCUGCUUUGUGUCCAUAAACAAGGAAAGGGUGCGGUCAUGACUUGGAUUUGUUCUGAGCAGUGUUUGUGUAUCCAAGGCCAGAGGCAGGACCCAGUGGGAAAGGGAAGUGUGGGAAUGAGUGAGAGGAAAUAUCUUGGGCUCCUUUGCCUCCUCACCCUCCAAUCAUUCCCCCACAAGGGAACCCCCUUAGGGUUCCCUCCUUCCCACGGUGUUCCCUCUACCCACUUCAAAUCUCAGUGACAUGAAAACUGGGGGCAUCAGAGGCAAGGGAGUGACAGGAACAGUGGUUUUGUAUAGCAAGAACAUUGGAGUUGGCCAGAGGUGGGUAAAGCCGUGGCACUAUCACCAGCACCACUCUCUGACCCAGACAAGAGGGUCCUCUGCCCUGGGCUAUGACCUCUAAAGGGCCCUUGCCCUCCUCAAGGCUCACUCCACCUCGUGAAGUGAAGAGUUCACCAGAGCCCAUAUAUACCCCUCAAGACCGUGUUCCAGGUCCUGAGACUCCAGAAUUCCCUGUACAAGCGGCCCUGCGCCUGUUUCCAGGGCCUGUAAGAGCCUCUUCCAGGGUCUGUCCUCUCAAGGAUGUGUAUGCCCUAGAGUUCAGGGUGCCCUAGGGAUAACUGUUUGCAGACAGGAUGAAGAAUGGGUGGACGGCACACACUGGAGUAUCUGUAUUUGAAUUUCAAAGGUGGGAAGAGAAGGGCACCAGGCCAGGGGCUACGGUCUGAUUCUCCAUGGUAUACUGCCUCUUUCUGGCUCAGACCAAGGAGUCUGAACAUUCUAAAUUUGAAUCUGGGCUUCCUGGUUGUUAUGAAGGUUUAUUUGUCAAAGUAGGAGGAGAGAACAUGUCUAACUGUUAGCCUGAUAUAUUAGUUUUGCAUAUUUAUUCAAAUGGAAUAUGAACAAAUAUUCCAUUUAUUCAUGGAAUAUUUGGGGAGCUUGGAGCAAGAGUACAAAUAGGCUUUAACAUUUGGGGAGCUUGGGGCAAGAGUACAAAUAGAGGCUAUUUGUAGCCCCAAGCUCCCCAAAUGGUAGAGGCCGGCCAUGCCAUCACUUCAACAGUUUGACUUUAGUUAAGUACUUUAGGCCUCUGAUACUCGGUUUCCUCAUCUGCAAAAUAAGGACACUAACAGUAAUAGUUAUUGUGAGAAAUUAAAGUGUAAUAAGUUGUAAUUAUUGUUGUGUGCCCUUGGGUAAGUUACUUAAUCUCCCUAGUGCCUCAGUUUUCUCAUCCGUCAAAUGGAAGGGUAGUAGUAUACCUGUCUCUAAGGAUUGUUAUCAAUUAAUGUAUGUAAGAGCCUUUGAACAGUGUCUGGCACAUAGUAAAUGCUAUGGAAAUGUUCCUUGUUGUUGUUAUUGUCCGAUAUCUAUGGACGCUACUACCACCUGGCUGACUGGACUAAAGGAAACAGCAUAUGUAGCAUGUAGGUCACAGCGAGGCACACCUCUGCCACAUUUCUGAGCUUAUUUGAGAUUUGUCUCAUACUCCAGACUCAUCCUGUGAUUACCAAACCCGUACCAGACUUCUUAGGAAGGAUAGAGUCUGUUCCUGCUUCCAACUGUGACUGUGUCUUUAGCCAAGUGUAAUCUGAUGAAUACAAACUAAGAGUUCUGUCCUGGGUUAACCCUCAUUCUUUUCUGUAAAAGGCUUUCAGAUCCACUCAGAAAGGUGCAAAACAAAUCUUACAUCUCUGGGCAGAGACAUGGUGGUGGCAGAGAGCAAGGAAUGGGGGAGGGAUGUUGGCCCAUCUCAUGAGAGCCACUGAUUGCCACUCCUCACUGUGGAAGAGCUUCUGCAGCCCUGCGCAUUGGCAGGCUCUCAGGGCUGGGUUGGGUUUAGGAAUUAACUUGAAGUGUUAAUUUUGUAAAUAUCUAGACAGGGUUGAUCCUCCACAAGAGGAGAGUUGAUCACACAGAAAGACCUAAAAGCCUUAGAGAGCUACAAAAGUGUUUCCCAACUGCAAGCCCCAUUUAUUUCUACUACACGACACGACCUCUGUGGAUCAGCAGCUGUUUCCUUUGCUCAGCAACUGAACAGCCCAUUCCCUGUUUGUUUCAACUUUGCAGGGGAUCACCAAUGGGGAGCUGAGGUACUAAAGCUCUCCAUGGGAAUGAAAGUUAAGAAGGGCACCAGGGAGGCCAUUGGCACACAGGUCUCCGUCUGUAACCCGGGCUGGAGUGCAGUGGCGCGAACACGGCUCACUGCAGACUCGACCUCCUGGGAUGGGAUCUCAUCAUGUUGCCCAGCCUGGUCUCCAAUUCCUGGACUCCUCCCACUUUGGCCUCCCAAAGUGCUGGGAUUAUAGAUAGCAGUCAAUAGUAUUGAACAAGAAAAAGCUGCAUGACUUUUAGACCAGAGGAGUGAGGACAGCACUUAGAGGAGGCACACAGCCAACACGUCCAGUUAACCAGGAUAAAUGAUUUAAAAGAACUUUGUAAAAAUGCUGAACAUAAUUUGCUAUCACCAAAUAUAGGAAUCUCUGAAGCCAGCUGUCUUGCUCAUAUGAAAUGCAAUGACAAGAUCCAAAUUGUGAGAAAAGGAAUCCAACUUGGUUGGAACAGGAAAGAAACAAAAACAAAGAACCUCUGGCCCAGAGUCAUUUCUGUUUGGAAAAAUUUCUGAAGAUUAAACUUAGGCCCUGAGUGCACCUAACAGUGCAAUCUGCAGGCUGCCAACGCGUAGCCGUGGAACUAAAUCCAGCAGCUCAAGGUGAGAGAAAAUUAAGUGGAUAGAGUCUACCUCCUUAAGAUACUCUUCUUAUCAGAGCUUCCUGAGACCUUCCAGAGUGAUGAGUUCCAAAUUACGUACAGCCAUAGGAAAAUAAAUAUUUGGCCAGCUGUAGACAUUGGAUUUACUUAUCUGUAGCCUAUUUCUAGCUUCAGAACAAUUUCUACUUCUACCUUAUAAUCCACCACAGCCCAGGAGUUUAAGGAUCUUUUAUUAAAGUAUCUUCACGUAGUUUAUUUUUUGAAACAAAAAUUACCACUAAGAAAAUAUUUUUUAAAAAUACUCUCCAAUUAUACAUAGUGUACAUGUGUAUGUGUAUAAAUACAUAACAUAUAUUUUACUUUCACACAGAGGUUAAAAUCAAGUCAGUGCCCUGGUCUACUCCCUAUGUGGAAAGUUCAGAGGGAAGGGUCUGAACAUGGCUUUUUCCUAAGUUUGUUAUAUUCCUUGGAACAUGUUUCACAGGAUGUUACUUAGGGCUCCAAUUUACUGGACAAAACAAUCAUUACACAUACAGAAAAGAAAUUACUAAUUUCUUUAAUAUAAAAAUGUAUCUUACAAAUCAAUAAGAAAAGAUAACUCUAUAGGAAAAUAAGCAAAGGAAAUAUCCAGGCAGUUCAGGAAGAGGAACAAAAAGCAGGAAAUCAACAGGUGAAAACAUACUCCACCUUGCUUGUAGUUUAAAAAUUCAAAUUCAAAUGAUGAUGAGACAGAAAUUUUCACUUCCAGUUGGUACAGAUUUUUUCUUUUUUUUUUAAGACAGAGUCUCCCUCAGUCACCCAGGCUGGAGCGCAGCAGCCUAGGAUCUUGGCUUACUGCAACCUCCAUCUCCCAGGUUCAAGCAAUUCUCCUGCCUCAGCCUCCUGAGUAGCUGCGACUAUAGGCACCCCCCACCAUGCCCAGCUAAUUUUUGUAUAUUUUCAGUAGCGAUGGGGUUUCACCAUGUUGGCCAGGGUGGUCUCGAGCUCCUGACUUCAGGUGAUCCAUCCACCUGGGCGUCCCAAAGUGCUGGGAUUACCAGUGUGAGCCACCGCACUCAGCCAGAUUUUUAAAAGAGGUAAAACCAGGAUAAGAUAUGAGAAAACAGUCGUUUCAUACAUUGUUCAUAAGUGUAUAAAUUGAUAUAAUGUUUUGUGUUGGCAAUGUUGCAAUACUUAUUAAAAUUGAACCCCACAUUUUACUUCUACUAUAGAAGUAAUUAUAGUAGUAACCUAUAGAAAACAUUCCCCUAAGUACACAGAGACAAAUGUACAUGAAUGAUGUACAUAGUUCCUAACAGCUAAACACUGGAAAUAAACCUAUGAAAAGAAUUUGGUAGAUCUAUAUGUACUUACACAGAAAGGGUUCCAAGAUACAGCAACAUGUAAAAAGAGCAAGUUAUAAAAAUGAUUUAGAAAAUGAUUCAAUUUUUGUUAUAUGCAGAGGAAAAAAAAUCUAGUGUCAUAUAGACUAAAAUAUAAAUACUAGCUAUUUCUGGGGGUUGGCAUUUUGGAGUACCUUCCAUUUCUAUCUCAUGUUAUUUCUGUAAUAUUUGAUCAUAUACUAAGGGUAAAAUAAAAACAAUUUAAAAAAUAACAGUAUGAACAUCACUUACGUAGCUUUCUUGCCAACCCCCAGAAAUAGCUAGAUUAGAUUCAGGAUCAUGUUAAAUCUGAAGCUAAACAUGAGGAAACAACAAUCAGAUAAAUCCAGAUUGUGUGAGAUGCUGCAAGAUAACUAACCUGGACUCCUAAAAUGUGUCAAUGUCAUGAAAAAUGAAAAGAGUCAUGGAGACUGUUCUAGAUUACAAACAACUAAAGAGACCUGACAAUGAAACACAAUAUGUGAUAUCUGACUGGAUUCUAAAUUUAGACACACAUGAAAAAACAUUAUAAAGGACCUUCAUGGAACACAACUGCAUGGGUGACUCUACAUGACAGAAUAGUAUUUCUAGGAUCAUAUUUUGGGAAAUGCUGGGAUAGAAAAUGUCCCUUUAACUGAAGCUUAUUGUGACCCUUCAUGCUAGAUGUUCCUAUUUUUUUUUUCUUAUUUAAUCCUGGUAAUUUACAGAAGAAGAUGAUGAUUUUCUAUCAAACUUACACUCUAAUUAUUACUCUGAUUGUUGAGAGAUGCCAAUAUAUUCAUUUCUAGAAUAUCUUACCUGGUUUAUAGAUUUUUCAAUUAGUGCUUAGAUACCAACUGUAAUUUAUUAUCAAGUUGGGGAAUUUCUGAGCUGUAGGGGAUCUUAGAGGAAUUGUGGGAUCAACCCUUAUCAUUUUACAGAUGAGCAAAGGAACUCCGAUGGGCUAUGUGACUUACACAUAUUUAAUUAGGAGAACCGGCUUUGGAAACCUAGCCUCCAAAUUCAGUACUCUUACCAUAAAACUAUUAUGAUUUACUUACCCUUGCUGAAUGCCAGCAGUGGACAAGGCAUCAUAACGGCCUGCCCUAAGACACCCUUCUGCCGGAAAGAGGCUCAACACUUGAGGAGGAAUUGCAUGACAAUCUUCAGGGAGCAAGAGUAUCCAACUCCCCGCACUUCUAAUCAUGCAGGCAGUCUGCCGAGUCCACGUUGCACCAAGGCAUGCCCUUUGCCUGACUUGUUUGUUACAUAAGAAAGCACUAGGAGUUCGAGC